rnacentral:rRNA from 1 species
GUGCCAGCAGCCGCGGUAAUACGAAGGGGGCUAGCGUUGUUCGGAAUCACUGGGCGUAAAGGGCGCGUAGGCGGCCAUAUAAGUCGGGGGUGAAAGCCUGUGGCUCAACCACAGAAUUGCCUUCGAUACUGUAUGGCUCGAGACCGGGAGAGGUAAGUGGAACUGCGAGUGUAGAGGUGAAACUCGUAGAUAUUCGCAAGAACACCAGUGGCGAAGGCGGCUUACUGGUCCGGUUCUGACGCUGAGGCGCGAAAGCGUGGGGAGCAAACAGGAUUAGAUACCCCAGUAGUCC